rnacentral:lncRNA from 1 species
AAACCAGCUUUCUCCAGACCUUCUAUGGUGUUUUGGCUGAGAAAAUAUGAAGAAAUGUCUAGAUUUUUCAAUUACAUCAUUAUUUAACUAUUAACUUUUAUGCUAUUUCCAAUUUUGCCCCUUGUUCACAUUGUUUUCUUGCUUAUUUCAUACCCAAACCGUCCAGCCAUUAACCUUUGGGUCUAAUUGCUAUUUAAAUCCAUCUUUUUAAAUACUUAAGCUAUUUACUCACAAUUUAACAAAUUUUGCGCUAUUUUCAAUUUAGUCCUUUUUAAUUAAUUAGCCAUCCAAACGUUAAAAUUUUC